UAGGGAAUCUUCCGCAAUGGGCGAAAGCCUGACGGAGCAACGCCGCGUGAGUGAUGAAGGUCCUCGGAUCGUAAAACUCUGUUAUUAGGGAAGAACAAUUGUGUCAGUAACUAUGCACGUCUUGACGGUACCUAAUCAGAAAGCCACGGCUAACUACGUGCCAGCAGCCGCGGUAAUACGUAGGUGGCAAGCGUUAUCCGGAAUUAUUGGGCUUAAAGCGCGCGUAGGCGGUUUUUUAAGUCUGAUGUGAAAGCCCACGGCUCAACCGUGGAGGGUCAUUGGAAACUGGAAAACUUGAGUGCAGAAGGGGAAGGUGGAAUUCCAGGUGUAGCAGUGAAAUGCGCAGAAAUAUGGAGGAACACCAGUGGCAAAGGCGACUUUCUGGUCUGUAACUAACGCUGAUGUGCAAAAGCGUGGGGAUCAAACAGG
rnacentral:rRNA from 1 species